rnacentral:rRNA from 1 species
CAAUAGCGUAUAUUUAAGUUGCUGCAGUUAAAAAGCUCGUAGUUGGAUUUCGGGUGGGAAUGGCCGGUCCGCCGUUUCGGUGUGCACUUGCUACGCCCACCUUGCUGCCGGGGACGUGCUCUUGAGUUCACGCUCGGGACACGGAGUCGGCGAGGUUACUUUGAGUAAAUUAGAGUGUUCAAAGCAGGCCUACGCUCUGAAUACAUUAGCAUGGAAUAACACGAUAGGACUCUGGCCUAUCUUGUUGGUCUGUAGGACCGGAGUAAUGAUUAAGAGGGACAGUCGGGGGCAUUCGUAUUUCAUUGUCAGAGGUGAAAUUCUUGGAUUUAUGAACGACGAACUACUGCGAAAGCAUUUGCCAAGGAUGUUUUCAUUAA